AUUAUGGUAGCGCGGCGUCGCGUGGGACGAAGUUGCAAUAUCGAGCGUCAGAAAUGGUAGGCUCAGGAUGCGCAACGGGGGUUACUCCAUAUCAUCUGAUCCUCGCUUCUCUGUGUGUUAAAUCUAAGCAGGCACCGGCAGUUACAGUAAGUCGCUCAUUGCUCCCCCCUUCUUCCGCCUUUCCAUGUACGGAUAAGAGUCGUCGGUGGCAGUACUUCACGAAUGCUGGAAGGGGUCCCAGGCCUCUGCUUUGUGUGCCAAAACCUGAAAAUAGCAAAAAAACACAAGUUGAAGGUGAAGGAGCUUCUGCUUCCGAAGAAGUGGAACUAGAGCGAAAUCUCCUCUUCCUCCCCAGAAGGAUUCAAAAUUCAGGAAUAAUAUCUUCAUGCUUGGUUGGUCUCCUCACCGGCCUCGCUGUUGUGUUUUUCAAUAACGCUGUCCAUGAAAUUCGUGAUUUGUGCUGGGAUGGGAUUCCCUCUCGAGGCGCCUCGUGGUUGAGAGAAGAGCCUAUUGAGGCAACAUGGACAAGAGUGAUACUGGUUCCAGCUUUCGGAGGCGUGCUUGUGGCCGUGUUGAACCUCCUUCGUGAUUCUGCGGUCGAGCAAGAGCAAAACCAAGACCCAUUCAUGUCUGCUUCCCGCCCUUUCUUAAAGGCCUUGGCGGCUUCUAUUACCUUAGGCACUGGUAAUUCCCUUGGUCCUGAGGGUCCCAGCGUCGAGAUUGGUACUUCCAUUGCCAAAGGUGUUGGUUCUUUCUUUGACAAGAAUUCUGCCAGAAUGCUCUCGCUUCUUGCUGCCGGAUCUGCUGCAGGUCUCUCCUCUGGUUUCAAUGCUGCUGUUGCUGGUUGUUUUUUUGCGGUUGAGUCUGUCUUGUGGCCAUCAUCUGCUGAUGCAACUUUGCCUCUUACAAAUACUACUUCUAUGGUGAUACUAAGCGCUGUAAUAGCUUCUGUAGUUUCGGAGAUUGGCCUUGGCUCUGAACCAGCCUUUAAAGUUCCAGAAUAUGAUUUCCGUUCUCCUGGUGAGCUCCCACUGUAUCUACUGCUGGGUAUUUUAUGUGGUCUUGUGUCGUUGGCUCUGUCUUGGUGUACAUCAUAUAUGUUGAAUAAUGUUGACAAUAUUCACAAGGCUACUGGCAUCCCACGAGCUUCAUUCCCUGUGUUAGGAGGUUUAUCAGUGGGGUUGAUAGCAUUGGUAUAUCCUGAAAUCCUCUACUGGGGUUUUGAGAAUGUUGACAUCUUGUUGGAAUCUCGGCCAUUUGUGAAAGGUCUUUCCACUGACCUUCUGCUUCAGCUAGUAGCCAUUAAGAUAAUUGCAACUUCUUUGUGCCGGGCGUCUGGACUAGUGGGAGGGUAUUAUGCUCCAUCUCUCUUUAUUGGUGCAGCUACUGGGAUGGCUUAUGGGAAAUUCAUUGGUUUGGCUGUUGCUGAGUUCUAUCCUACGAUUAAUCUCUCUGUAUUGGAAGUGGCAUCACCACAAGCUUAUGGCCUGGUUGGAAUGGCUGCGACUCUUGCUGGAGUUUGUCAAGUGCCUCUUACUGCAGUUUUACUUCUGUUUGAAUUGACGCAGGACUAUCGGAUUGUUUUACCUCUACUUGGAGCAGUGGGCUUGUCUUCAUGGAUAUCAUCUGUACAGACAAAGAGGGGAGAUGGCAGUCAAGAAUCAUCUACUGGUAAUAACUUUGGGGGAGUUGUGCCAUUUUCAAGCAAUUUGUGUCAGGUGGAAAGCUCACUUUGUUUAGACAAUGAUGAUGUUAAAACAACAUAUUCCAUGAGAACACUUGUUUCAGAAGCCAUGAAUACGAAAUAUCUGAAGGUCUCGAUGUGCACCCUGCUUACUGAUGUAAUAGACCUCAUGCUUGCUGAGAAAGAGUCCUAUGCUGUAAUUAUUGACACUGAUGAUACUUUGAUUGGUUUUUUCACACUUAAAGACAUUCAAGAGUACGUAAAAUUUGCAACAGCCAGAAGCAAAAUGCCUAAGGAGCUUUUAGUUUCUGAAUUAUGCCUAUUAAAUGGCGGAGUAUGUAGUAUACCAUGGACAGCUACUCCAGACAUGGAACUUAGUUAUGCUCAAAUGACUAUGAACAAAUAUGGAGUCAACCAAGUUCCAGUAGUGAGGAAUAUCCAUGGAAGAGCAUACCCAGUUGGCAUAUUGGAUCCUGACAGUAUCAGUCUAACAUACAGAUUUCAGAUACAAAUGCAGAUAUGCACCCCCUUAAAGAUGAAUGAUGAAACAGACUAAAGUCGGUAAAUCCAAUUGAAAAUCUAGGAUGGUAUGGAUAGAACUGAAAGGGACAGUAAUAGGUGUGGAAGCUUCUUUGGGAGACUUUAUUAUUCAACAUCAAGUAUUUAAGUAGAAAAAAUUAUAAGAAAUAUGAGGGUGCUUUGGCCACCAGGCGCGCACUCAGCUAAUAUUUUAAAGUAAGUCAUGACUUUUCUUGAGGUCGCACACAUAAGUCAUUUGGCCUUUGAACUUGUGAAUAACUUUUUAGUUUAUAAAGUUGCAAAAUAGAUGUUAACUUUGCUACUCCAUCGUGUUUUAUAUAACAUAUCAUGUUAAGUGACAUAUUAGUUUUCAUGUGAUUUUAAGGUGGCAUCAAUGAAUAAUAAAGUUAAAUCAUAUUGGGAUUUAUA